CCUACGGGUGGCAGCAGUGGGGAAUAUUGGGCAAUGGGCGCAAGCCUGACCCAGCAACGCCGCGUGAAGGAAGAAGGCUUUCGGGUUGUAAACUCCUUUUAAGAGGGAAGAGCAGAAGACGGUACCUCUUGUAUAAGCCACGGCUAACUACGUGCCAGCAGCCGCGGGUAUACGUAGGUGGCACGCGUUGUCCGGAUUUACUGGGGGUAAAGGGCGUGCAGGCGGGAAGACAAGUCAGAUGUGAAAGCCCGUGGCUGAACCGCGGAACUGCAUUUGAAACUGUUUUUCUUGAGUACCGGAGAGGUCGUCGGAAUUCCUGGUGUAGCGGUGAAAUGCGUAGAGAUAAGGAAGAACACCAAUGGCGAAGGCGGAUGACUGGACCGCAACUGACGGUGAGGCGCGAAAGCGUGGGGAGCAAACAGGAUUAGAUACCCCAGUAGUC
rnacentral:rRNA from 1 species